CCGUAGCCCAAGAGAUCGGGAUAACACCUGGAAACAGAUGCUAAUACCGGAUAACAACAGAUGAUGCCUAUCAACUGUUUAAAAGAUGGUUCUGCUAUCACUCUUGGAUGGACCUGCGAUGCAUUAGCUAGUUUGUAGGGUAACGGCCUACCAAGGCGAUGAUGCAUAGCCGAGUUGAGAGACUGAUCGGCCACAUUGGGACUGAGACACGGCCCAAACUCCUACGGGAGGCAGCAGGU
rnacentral:rRNA from 1 species